rnacentral:lncRNA from 1 species
CCGAAAAGAACAGAAAAAUACCUUUUAAAAUGUCUGAAAAUAAUUGAAUUAAUGUAAAAACAAAAAAGAACCAUCACACCGGUACGAGUUUGUUUACAUUCCGUCCAAGAAACUAUCAUGGCGAGCAUGUCAGCAGCAGGUUGCAGUGGCUGUGAUAUGGAUUACGUGCAUACUAUUCACCGUUUAUAUGGUGAUGCCAGUAGAGCUUGUGGUUUUCUACGAAGUCAUGGUGCUCUACCAAAGUCCAUGAAGGACACUCACUGCAAGAAGCCAUGCCAACACCUGAAGGACCAGCCAAAUUGACUUACAGUAGACAGAUAGAUAUAAAGAAAAUCAAGUGUAAACGACAACAAAAGCACCUUCCUUGGCAUCUCCAACAUCCCGCCAUGGAAGCUCUUCCUGUUUGAUAAUCACUUUCUGUGAUGCAAUGCCUGCAAGGAAAACAAGGUCCCACCAGCUUUACUCUCCACCACCUCUUCAUUCAGAUGAGUGUAUGUACAUGAGGGAUACAUUCAAGGAGGUUACAGAGAGAAAUGAAUGGCAUUACCAUUUUCUUAGAGAAAAAGGGUUACAGCAAGUCUACAAAUACCAAAAUCUGUGUAAUGCAUCAGGGCUUUCUCUAACUGCAACCUUCAAAUGUCUCUACAAGAUCCUCAAGACAAGAAGACUGCUCUGCACAGGGAGUAUUAAUGCAUUCAUCAAGAUGAAGGAGUGAAGCUUAUUCUGGAGAAGUCCUGUGAAGGAACUCAAUGCAGGAAAAGGGCAGAUCAUGGUCUGGAACGAUUCAAGUGGAUUUUCAUGGCCCAGUACUAUAAUAGAGGAGAGAGGACAGUGGGUCUUCAAGAUGGGCAAGUAUGUCUAAGAGCUAGAUCCUCCCCUUCUCUACAAGUCCAAAAUGAGGAAGGUGACCAUAGCCCAAGUCUAUUUGCCUGACAGAAAUCUAUUUGGAAUGGAAGAAUACCACCACAGAAAACUUGCAGGGGAAACAGAAGGAAGGGUGAAGGAGAGAAGUAAGAAGGAAGAAUAGAAGGCAUUAGUCUUAGAAUUGGCAGGUAAUGCUGUUGAUGAGGUACCUUGUAACCCCAAGAACCUUCCUUAUCAGGUGGAUAGCUUCGGCUACAACUGCAAGAUCUGAGGCAACUACACAUGCAAGAUCAGUUGACAGACACUUUCUCAAAUGUAAGUCUGUUUAAGGCACAUAAAAUUUUGGGCAUGGUGAACACAGCACACACUGUCAUUAUUACACAGAGUCGGAAAAUAUGCAAGAAAUGGCAGUCCAAAGACUCCAAAGGAAAGGCAAUGUUGAUAAGCUUAGAAUGAAAGGAAUUAGAGGGUUUUGUCAGAUAGUCAGAAUACAUAUUUGUACAUGAAAAUUAUGUAUGUAAAUAUAGAAAUUGAUAUGUCAAUCUAGUGCAUAUAUUUAUGUGCAAGAAGUGAACAAUGGUUGAUAACAUAUAAAUAAUUGUGUUUAUGUGAACAAUCAUUUCUAAAGAAUUUUCCUUUAAAGUUAUAUCACAUUAUUGUAAUAUCAAAUAUAUACCAUAAA